UACAGAGGUCCCAAGCGUUGUUCGGAUUCACUGGGCGUAAAGGGUGCGUAGGCGGUUGGGUAAGUCUGUCGUGAAAUCUCCGAGCCUAACUCGGAAACUGCGUCGGAUACUAUUCAACUCGAGGAAUGGAGGGGAGACUGGAAUUCUCGGUGUAGCAGUGAAAUGCGUAGAUAUCGAAGAGGAACACCAGUGGCGAAGGCGAGCCUGGACAUCUCCUGACACUGAGGCACGAAGCUAGGAGCAACAGG
rnacentral:rRNA from 1 species